GAGCUUGGGGGUGCCAUUUUGACACGAAGUAUAGCAAAUAUGCAUUUUAAACUAGUCCAUAAUUUCACUUCUAUGGUCCGUUUUCGAAAUAAAAUGGCUAUGCUACGUAGAUAGACAGAUUAAUAUUAAAUUUAGGUAUGUUUUAAACGUAUAUGAGCUGUUUCUGUUAAGUUAUAUGUAUAGUUGUUGUUUCAAACGCCAAGCUAUACAUCUUCACUGAAUUAGUUUGCAAUUGCUUCGCGUUGAAGCGCUUGGUUGUCAUAAUGUUCAGAUACAUCUGCUGUGAUUUGCAUGACUCAUAGUUGCUUUAUACCUACUUUUUCAGAGCAAGUAUUUGACGAGAAAUAUGACAGAUUCAAGUCGCCGACCUGUCGAAGGCUCGAAGCUCGUGGUAAGCAUAAUGUCCAUAAUCAAAGGCUUUUGCUUGUUGUUUGCCAUUGGCAUUUUAACAGUUCCCUACCGAACUAGAGCGUUUCGUAGCAUUGUUAAAACUUUCUGAAUAUUUGGAGUUAAAGUCGACUUUCUUGAGAAUCUUGUACGAAAUGCUGAAUAAUUUUAGAAAAGUUAAAUCAAACGUGCAAUCAAGGCACAUAUGUCAAACUUUCUAGCUUUCAGACGCUUGUAGUUUAUGUACAAAUUGUACUAAGAUAGGAAAAUGCUAAGCUUUUCAAGUUUUUUAAGGUUGAACAUAAUCGUAAUUUUCUUACGAAAUCCAGAGAUGAAAUGCGCUGGUGGCUCGUGUCUUAGCAAUUAAAUGAAUGUACGCAAUCUAGC